rnacentral:rRNA from 1 species
GCGUAGUCGAUGGGAAACAGGUUAAUAUUCCUGUACUUGGUGUUACUGCGAAGGGGGGACGGAGAAGGCUAUGUUGGCCGGGCGACGGUUGUCCCGGUUUAAGCGUGUAGGCUGGUUUUCCAGGCAAAUCCGGAAAAUCAAGGCUGAGGCGUGAUGACGAGGCACUACGGUGCUGAAGCAACAAAUGCCCUGCUUCCAGGAAAAGCCUCUAAGCAUCAGGUAACAUCAAAUCGUACCCCAAACCGACACAGGUGGUCAGGUAGAGAAUACCAAGGCGCUUGAGAGAACUCGGGUGAAGGAACUAGGCAAAAUGGUGCCGUAACUUCGGGAGAAGGCACGCUGAUAUGUAGGUGAAGUCCCUUGCGGAUGGAGCUGAAAUCAGUCGAAGAUACCAGCUGGCUGCAACUGUUUAUUAAAAACACAGCACUGUGCAAACACGAAAGUGGACGUAUACGGUGUGACGCCUGCCCGGUGCCGGAAGGUUAAUUGAUGGGGUCAGCGCAAGCGAAGCUCUUGAUCGAAGCCCCGGUAAACGGCGGCCGUAACUAUAACGGUCCUAAGGUAGCGAAAUUCCUUGUCGGGUAAGUUCCGACCUGCACGAAUGGCGUAAUGAUGGCCAGGCUGUCUCCACCCGAGACUCAGUGAAAUUGAACUCGCUGUGAAGAUGCAGUGUACCCGCGGCAAGACGGAAAGACCCCGUGAACCUUUACUAUAGCUUGACACUGAACAUUGAGCCUUGAUGUGUAGGAUAGGUGGGAGGCUUUGAAGUGUGGACGCCAGUCUGCAUGGAGCCGGCCUUGAAAUACCACCCUUUAAUGUUUGAUGUUCUAACGUGGACCCGUGAUCCGGGUUGCGGACAGUGUCUGGUGGGUAGUUUGACUGGGGCGGUCUCCUCCUAAAGAGUAACGGAGGAGCACGAAGGUUGGCUAAUCCUGGUCGGACAUCAGGAGGUUAGUGCAAUGGCAUAAGCCAGCUUGACUGCGAGCGUGACGGCGCGAGCAGGUGCGAAAGCAGGUCAUAGUGAUCCGGUGGUUCUGAAUGGAAGGGCCAUCGCUCAACGGAUAAAAGGUACUCCGGGGAUAACAGGCUGAUACCGCCCAAGAGUUCAUAUCGACGGCGGUGUUUGGCACCUCGAUGUCGGCUCAUCACAUCCUGGGGCUGAAGUAGGUCCCAAGGGUAUGGCUGUUCGCCAUUUAAAGUGGUACGCGAGCUGGGUUUAGAACGUCGUGAGACAGUUCGGUCCCUAUCUGCCGUGGGCGCUGGAGAACUGAGGGGGGCUGCUCCUAGUACGAGAGGACCGGAGUGGACGCAUCACUGGUGUUCGGGUUGUCAUGCCAAUGGCACUGCCCGGUAGCUAAAUGCGGAAGAGAUAAGUGCUGAAAGCAUCUAAGCACGAAACUUGCCCCGAGAUGAGUUCUCCCUGACCCUUUAAGGGUCCUGAAGGAACGUUGAAGACGACGACGUUGAUAGGCCGGGUGUGUAAGCGCAGCGAUGCGUUGAGCUAACCGGUACUAAUGAACCGUGAGG